UAUUAUACAAAUAAUGAAUGUUUUUAUUCGUGCAAUGGUAAGAAUAUUUUCAUGAGGUGAAAGAUGGAAUGUUCCAUCGAAAAUAUUCUUACCAUUACACGAAUAAAAACAGUCAUUAUUUGUUUUAUA